ensembl:lncRNA
GUGCAGCACGCAGGCAGUUUUGCAUUGGACAAGAUUUGCAUCUUCCUUUACUCUCUGAGAGGCUGUUUGCUUAUUUGCAUCCAUGAGCAGCUGUCUUCAUGGUAGAGUCUGGGGAGGGCUGACUCUCAGUAAAUAUAAAAAGGGAAUUUGCCUUCAAAGACUGCCAUGCAAAGGACUUGAAGACAUUUCAAGAAGGCUGCUUCUGUUGCUGGACUGGUUUAUGGUUGGAGGACUUCAGGGUCUUUGGGGGUAUUCGCAUUUAGGGAUGUCACAAAGAGUGACAAAUCCAGGCACUGAACUUUCCGUAAGAAAAGUUCAGAGGUGUCUCUCUGUGGCCACAAGGGGACACUUCUUUUUAAAUUUGUCAUCUUGGUGACUCAUUCUUAUCCUGCCCAGAGAAGAGCUUCCAGUCCCUUCUGGAUCUGGAGUUCUCUGUUUUUUUACAGUAGGUGAUGGUGUGAAAGGUUUGCUGUAGCAGGAUCUGUGGCAUGCCAAGGCUGCCAGCACCACACCUCUCUCUGCUCAGUUUCCUCAGCAACUGUAGGGUCUGGUUUCGUUUAUUCAUUUGACAACCCCUCAGGACACUACUGUAUUAGGUGCUGAGCAUGUCACAAUAAAAAUGUUAAAGUCUUGGGAGUUCCUCUUGUGGCCCAGUGGGUUACAAACCCAACUAGGAUCCAUGAGGAUGUGGGUUCAAUCCUUGGCCUCACUCAGUGGGUUAAGGAUCCGGUGUUGCUGUGAACUGUGGUGUAGGUUGCAGAUGAGGCUUGAAUCCUGCAUUGCUGUGGCUGUGGCAUAGGCUGGCAGCUGCAGCUCCAAUUUGACACCUAGCCUGGGAACUUCCAUUUGCCCCAAGUGUGGCCUUAAAAAGCGGGGGCGGGGGGAGGGGAGGAAGGAGUUAAAGUCUCUGCCCUCAAGGAGUUUACUGCGUGAAUCUAUCUCUUGGACUGGGUUGCUGAUCUACUAUCAGAGACCGAUCCUGUUGCUUACUACAUGCUCUUACCUCUGAUGUCUAAAAAUGGUGCAGUCUGUUUGGCUACACAUUUUUCUAGGCAAUUUCUGUGCAAUUGGAUAAAAUAAACUCAUGGACUUGGAGAACAGACUUGUGAUUGCUGAGGGGGAGGGAGUGGGAUGGACUGGGAAUCUGGGGUUAAUAGAUCCAAGCUAUUGCCUUUGGAAUGGAUAAGCAAUGAGAUCCUGCUCUAUAGCACUGGGAACUAUAUCUAGAGACUUAUGAUGGAGCAUGAUUAUGUGAGAAAAAAGUUACACAUACAUGUAUACAUGUAUGUGUAACUGGGUCACCUUGCUGCCUAUAGUAGAAAAUUGACAGAACACUGUAAACAUCUAUAAUGGAAAAAAAUAAAAAUCAUUAAAAAACCUAAUUUUAAAAAAUAAAAAUGCAGGAGUUCCUGAUAAGGCUCAGUGGGUUAAGAACCUGACAUUAAGAAUUCCCAUUUUGGCUCAGUGGUAACGAAUCCCACUAGUAUCCAUGAGGACAUGGGUUUGAUCCCUGGCCUCACUCAGUGGGUUAGGGAUCUGGUGUUGCCAUGAGCUGUGGUGUAGGUCAGACAUGGCUCAGAUCCAGCAUUGCUGCAGCUGUGGCAUAGGCUACAGCUGCAGUUCUUAUCUGACCUCUAGCCUUGGAACUUCUAUAUGCCACAGGUGUGGCCCUAAAAAGAAAAUUUAAAAAAAAAUUAAAAUGCAAUCAUAGGAAUUCAUGGGAGGCUUUAUUAUCUGCAGUCCGUUUUAGGAAUAGUAAGUGAAGAAGGCCUGAUGCUUGUUUCCGUGUGCCCUAGAGAGCUGUGUCUGUGGAAACAAGAGGUGGCCUACUGUGCCUAUGGCCCCCAGUGGGUGGGAGGUGUGUCCCUAUCUGGGAACUCAGCCGAAGUUCUGAUCUGUUCUUUCUCUUUGCUUCUCUUUCAUUGUUAUAUCCUUGUUAGGCUGAGGAAAGGAGAUAGAGGAGUCAAUAGAAUGGAAGAUAUGGGCAAAUAAAUAUGUUCUAGUUGGAAGAACCAAGGAAUCUAUUGUACUAGCAAGUACUUUCCUUGAGAGAGAAUUGCAGAAUGCUUUAUCUCACUUUUCUAAGAGAAGAGACAUUAAUAUCCAACCACGUGGAUCAAAACUUCUCUGUAUUUCAUGGAUCCUUUUGUUUCACCUUCUCCCCAUCCUUCCCCAGUCCAAGCCUCUCCAUCUGCUGAUGCUGCAGCAGCCACAGCCCCAUAGAUUAUCCCUGGCUCUACUGUUGCCCCAUUCCUCUGCUCUUUGUGCUCCACCAUGUAGACCAUUUAAAAAUCACAGAUCUGGCCACAGGACUUCCUCCAGAAUGCCCUCCCAGGGCUCACCAUUGCCCCUUACCCCUUCCUUGCUCUCUCAUCCCGUGACUAGCCCACUGGGAUCACUGGGCCUUUGAGUGGUCUCCACCCCCAACACCACCUCUUCUCUCCUCACUACCUGUAUUAGUCAGGGCUCCCUGGAGAGAUACACCAACGGGAUGUGUAUAUACAUAUAUAGAAAGAGAAGUAUUAUAAGGAUUCAGCUCUUGUGAUUGUGGAGGCUGGCAGUGGGCCAGCAGGCUGGAGGCCCACGAGAGCUGAUAUUUUAGUUCUAGUCUGAAGGCAGUCUGCUGGAGAACCAGAAAGAGCUGGUGUUGCAGAUGAAAUCCAAAGGCAGUCUGCUAGAGAAUUCUCUCUUGCUUGGAGAAGGCUGGUCUUUUUGUUCUAGUUAGGCUUUCAACUGACUAGGUGAGGCCCACCCACAUCGUGGAGGGCAAUCUGCUUAAAGUCCACUGAUUAAAAUGCUAAUCUCAUUGAAAAGAAACCUUAAGGAAACAUCCAGAAUAAUAUUGACUAAAUAUCUAUGCACUCUGUGGCCCAGCCAUGUUGACACAUAAAAUUAUCACACUCCCCUUUACUUUUUGUCAUCUGUCCACACUGGACUUCUUCCAAGAGGCUAUGCUAAUUCUAGACUCUGGGCCUCUGCACAGGUUGUGUAUUCUCCCUAGAGAGCUUUUGCACCUGGCCCAUUCUUAUUCACUCAUCAUGUGUCAGCUGAAAUUUCACUUUCUUAAAGGGACCUUCUCUGAUCUCCCAGGCUAGGUUCAUUCCUUCAGCUAUAUAUUGCCAGAGCACACUGAAUUUCCCUUUAAAAUCAUACUUAGAGUUACUUGUUCAGUGCCAGCCUUUAUUGCUAGACUCUAAGUUCCGUGAAGGCAGGAAACAUAUCUGUUUUGAGUUGUUGAAAGAUGAUCCAACCAAUGAACAAUUAUAUUGAAAGUUUACAUUAUAUUAAAAGCUUACAAGAUAUGAGGCUCUUAACAUACACAGAUGAAACCCUGUGAAAUAUUUACUUUUACAGAGCCCCACAAAAGUUAGGGGCAUUCCCAAAGUCAUGUCACUAGUCAUAUAGUAUCUGGGCCUCAAAUAAAAUAAUGAAAAAUUUAACCACGAGCACUUAUAGCCCUUAAUAAGGGACAGAUUCUAUUCUUUGUAUUUGACAAUUUAUAGCAACCUGAUGUACUGGGCAGCUGGAAAAUGCCCUGCGGUGUUCCCUCCUGGUAUUCACUCUGGGGGUUCUGCCUCCAUGUGUCUUGGGAACCAGAAUCCAGAAUUAUGGUGGAGGCUAGUCUCCUCUUCAUCCUGGGGUCUUCUCUGGACCAUCUUCAGUUCUGUCUUCCUGUGCCCCAGUUAAUAGGGGCAAGUUAGCAAGUCUGCUGGCCAAGCAGAUGUUCAGCGAGAGAACAGAAUGCUCAUCUCCGCUUCUUUGAGGUACCUGUCCAAGGGCCUGCAGCCACCAGAGUGCAUGUGGGUGGAGAAAUGCUUCUCUUUGCGAUCACUGUACUCUCCAAAAAGCAGCCCCUCUCCCUGUCUUCCAUUAAGGGGGGUGUGGAGUAAGCCAGAUUCUCUGAGUGACCAGGGGAAGGUGGGUCCAGGACUAUCAGAUAUUAAGGUUUGGUUUUCUGAAAUCCCAUAUUCUGAAAUAUAUAUACAUGUAUGUUUUGAGGCUGUAUGUCUUCUCAUGAUGACUUGAAAAUGCAUUGGCAUUCCCAGAAUAUGGGGGUAUGGUUAGCUAAAGGUCUAUUUUAUUGUGUUAAAUUACAAACUGAUGCCCUAGGAGAAUUAAUUCCCCAGAGGAUAGAGCAGGAUUUUUUUUUUUCUAUAUCAAGUUGCAGUAUUAAUAAUGCAGUCACAUGUGGCUCUGCUAUAAAAGAGUUCAAUUUUCAAAGACAAUUUGAUAAUUUUAUGGCUGACUUAAAGCAUUUGUCUCCAACCACCAAGUUGAUAUCGUGUUGUCUCUCUAACGGAUUCUUGCUGACAGUCAAAGGAGAGAUGGCUUGGGAAAAGUACAAAGCUUUUCAAUUAAUUUAUGAUCCUGUUUAAGUAUAAAGCCUGCAGUUACUCUGUGAUUGUUUGUUGCCUUUG